AAUAUUGCGCAAUGGGGGAAACCCUGACGCAGCAACGCCGCGUGAAGGAAGAAGGCCUUCGGGUUGUAAACUUCCUUGAUUAGGGACGAACAAAUGACGGUACCUAAGGAACAAGCCACGCCGAACCACACGCCCGCAGCCGCGGCAAUACGCAGGUGGCCAGCGUUGUCCGGAAUUACUGGGUGUAAAGGGCGUGUAGGCGGGAAUGCAAGUCAGAUGUGAAAUGCCGGGGCUUAACCUCGGCGCUGCAUCUGAAACUGUAUUUCUUGAGUAUCGGAGAGGAAAGCGGAAUUCCCAGUGUAGCGGUGAAAUGCGUAGAGAUUGGGAGGAACACCAGUGGCGAAGGCGGCUUUCUGGACGAAAACUGACGCUGAGGCGCGAAAGCGUGGGGAGCAAACAGG
rnacentral:rRNA from 1 species